AAUGAACGCUGGCGGCAGGCCUAACACAUGCAAGUCGAGCGGAUGAAGGGAGCUUGCUCCUGGAUUCAGCGGCGGACGGGUGAGUAAUGCCUAGGAAUCUGCCUGGUAGUGGGGGAUAACGUCCGGAAACGGGCGCUAAUACAGCAUACGUCCUGAGGGAGAAAGUGGGGGAUCUUCGGACCUCACGCUAUUAGAUGAGCCUAGGUCGGAUUAGCUAGUUGGUGGGGUAAAGGCCUACCAAGGCGACGAUCCGUAACUGGUCUGAGAGGAUGAUCAGUCACACUGGAACUGAGACACGGUCCAGACUCCUACGGGAGGCAGCAGUGGGGAAUAUUGGGCAAUGGGCGAAAGCCUGAUCCAGCCAUGCCGCGUGUGUGAAGAAGGUCUUCGGAUUGUAAAGCACUUUAAGUUGGGAGGAAGGGCAGUAAGUUAAUACCUUGCUGUUUUGACGGUACCUACAGAAUAAGCACCGGCUAACUUCGUG
rnacentral:rRNA from 1 species